rnacentral:rRNA from 1 species
GGGAAAGACGGAUCGUGCAAAAAUGGGGUCGAUGGACGAGAAAGGAGCGAGAUCACGACACCCCUCCCCUCCCCCCUCCAGUCCUCCACUCAUUUUCUUCUGGAAGUGCUGUUAUUCUUCUGGAGAAAAUACUGUUUUUUUUUUGCGGGGUGGAGUAAAUACUGUUAUUCUUCUGGAAGUGCUGUUAGACACGCUGUAGAUCAGCACACAAUAUUUGAGCAUGGUAAUUGCUAACCACGCCCUUGUGAUGCAGAUUACAACAGUUUCACAAUUGUGGAAAAUGAAUGAAGAUUGCGAUCUUUAUUGCACAGGCGCAGCUGGUUCAUUCGUCUUGUGGAAAUAUGUUGGGGGUUGAUAAGUCAACAGUCAGUCCCCGGUCAAAACUCACUACUCAGGUGGAACCGUGGAAAGGAUGUCCCUAAUUAUUUGUGGUCAGUGUGUAGUAUGAUUAUUCUUCUACAGACAUAAGAGUCACAUCCCAGCAUUGACUGCAGCCAUCUUCCAUGCUUUACUGGCAAUUGGAAAAUUGCUUUCAUGGAAUCUUCAAAGCUGGCAACCCUGUAUGUUCAUGGUCUGUGGAGCCAUUUGCUGGACAAAAAGUUCAUACCAUCUUGCCACGAUUACAACAAGUAUCCUGCUUACCCUGCUCACCCCUUGAUUCAUUACUUCGAGAAACUCAGAGUUUAUGCUUGGAGAAAGCCAUGUUGGUGGAAAUAAGCUACUUGAAGAAGUGCGCAGUUGUUCUGCUGAUUCCAUCUGUGUUAGCAAUAAGAUGUUUCUCAGCUACCAGGCCAAGAGACACCAUCGCGUUCAAUGAAUCCAUUUCUGAUGGGCAGAAUCUUGUUUCCAGUAACAAGAAAUUUGUGCUUGGAUUCUUUAGCCCCGGAGCUUCAAGCCACCGAUAUAUUGGUGUAUGGUAUAACAGUGUUCCAAGAGGAACGGCUGUAUGGAUUGCUAACAGGAAUGAUCCAGUACAGGAUAAGUCGGGCGUACUUAAGUUUGAUGAAGUCGGUAAUCUGAUAGUCAAAAAUGGCACAGGCAGCUCGUUUAUAGUUGCUUCUGAGAUGGGAGUGAGGGACAGGGAGGCUGCAAUACUGGACACUGGCAACUUUGUGCUAAGGAUGACCGACCGUUCAAAAAUCAUAUGGGAGAGCUUUGCCUCUCCUACUGAUACAUGGCUUCCAGGAAUGAAUAUUACACUUGGAAAUUUGCUGAAAUCAUGGAAGAGCUAUGAUGACCCAGCAACAGGAGAUUACACUUUUGGUUUUGGACCGAGCAUAGCUAAUCCGUCAGCAUCACAAUUCAUUAUUAUGUGGAAUCGGAUUUCAUUUUGGACAAGUGAAUCCUGGAAUGGUGACACGAAUUCUCUCAUUCCAGUACUGAAAUCUAUGGGUAUCAUCCCUGUUUCAUUUCAGUGUGACAACCUUACAUGCAUGUACACUCCCAACCCUGCUGACAUAAUGACUAAGAUUGUUUUGGAUCAAAGUGGUUCACUGAACAUAACACAGUUCAAUUCGGAAGCCAAAUUGUGGACAUUGUUAUGGAGACAUCCAGAUAGUUGUGAUGUGUCUAAUUUAUGUGGAGUUAAUGGUGUAUGCAACAGCAGCGUAUCCGUAUCAACAUCAGAAUCCAUUUGUAAGUGUCCAGAAGGAUUUGCACCACAAGAACAAUCAAAUUCCAGGAAAGGGUGCACUAGAAAAACCCCACUGCAGUGUAAUGGUGAUAGAUUUAUUGAUAUGCUUAAUAUGACAUUUCCUGACAACAGACAGAAGCUGUCAGUUGUGGAAAAAAGUGAAUGUGAAUUUGCCUGUAUGGAAAAUUGCUCUUGUACGGCAUAUGCUCAUUCGCUCUCCGAUGGUUGCAGCUUAUGGCAUGGCAAUCUAACACACUUGCAGAAUGGAGUUGAAACUCUUCAUCUUCGUGUAGCUGCAUCAGAAUCACAUGGUCACAAAAUGCUUUGGAUAGCGUAUGUACUUCCGCCAGUUGCAUUCCUUGUCUUUUGUCUCAUCUCUUUUAUUUGGAUUAGGAGAUGGAAAAAUAAAGGGAAAGGAAAACAGCAUGAUCACCCCCUCGUCAUGGCUUCAGAUGUAAUGAAACUUUGGGAGAGCGAAGACACAGGCUCUCACUUUAUGAUGCUUUCUUUUUCACAGAUAGAAAAUGCCACAGACAACUUCUCAACUAAAAACAAGCUUGGAGAAGGAGGGUUUGGCCCUGUGUACAAGGGAAACUUACCAAAUGGACAAGAUGUUGCUGUUAAGAGACUUGCAGCGAAUUCAGGGCAAGGACUACCAGAGUUUAAGAAUGAAAUCUUAUUAAUAGCCAAGCUUCAACACAGCAAUUUAGUUGGACUCUUAGGUUGCUGCAUUGACGGGGAAGAAAUGUUACUAAUCUAUGAGUAUAUGCCAAACAAAAGCUUGGAUUUCUUCCUAUUUGAACAAUCGAGAAGGGCUUUUUUAGUCUGGGCAAUGCGUCUUAACAUAAUUGAAGGGAUUGCACAAGGUCUUAUUUAUCUCCACAAGCAUUCUCGGCUGAGAAUUAUUCACAGGGACCUGAAGCCAAGCAAUAUUCUGCUGGACACUGAUAUGAACCCUAAGAUCUCGGACUUCGGAAUGGCAAGAAUAUUUGAUCCUAAAGGAGGACUAGCUAACACGAAAAGAGUCGUUGGAACAUAUGGCUACAUGGCCCCCGAAUAUGCUAUGGCAGGUAUUUUCUCUGUCAAGUCCGAUGUAUUUAGCUACGGGGUACUGCUUCUGGAGAUCAUCAGUGGACUAAGAAAUGCAGCAGCUCGUGGACAUGGCAACUCCCUAAACCUCCUUGGUCACGCAUGGGAGCUGUGGAAAGAAGGCAGAUGGCGCGAGCUCAUUGAUAAAUCGUUGCACGAUGCAUGUCCUGAGAAUAUGGUGCUACGAUGCAUUCACGUCGGCCUGUUGUGCGUUCAGGAGAAUGCUGCUGAUCGGCCCUCCAUGGCCGAAGUCAUUUCUAUGAUUACUAACGAAAAUGCCACCUUGCCGGCCGCAAAACAACCUGGUUUCGUAUCCAUGUUGCUUCCAACUGAAGCUGAUGUCCCUGAAGGAAGCUGCUCUCUGAAUGAUUUGUCAAUUACUCGCCUGGAUGGUAGGUAGUACUACUAUCGAGUAUCCAUUAGAUAAAGAGUGUUACUGUUGCUUGUGAAUAUAUGUUCAGACAACAGAGUAUCAUGUUAUCACAUGAUAUUAACUAGACUGUGACACGCGCUUUGCCACGUCGUUCUUCGGUCGUGAGUUAAGUCUCGUCUAUUUAUUUUCUACAUGGUUUUAUUAUGGUUUGCUCACUUAUUGUCCGUAAUUGUUAGUUAAUUAUCUUACAUAGUAUUGUUGCUCAUAGGUUAAAUUGUUAGUUCAGUGGGUGAUUCGUGCAUGUUCACAGAAUGAAAUGCGUCGACCAAUCAAGUUCGAUGAGCUAUUUGUCAUCGGCCUCUUGCAUGCAUUGUAAAAGAAAGAGCCAUCAAUUUUUGGUAUAAAUUCAAAUACUCCUUCUGUUCCAUAAUAUAGUGCAUAUAAUAUUUUUUAAGUCAAAGUUUGUGAUCUUUGACCCAGUUUAUAGAGAAAACUAUAUAUAUCUAUAAUUCCAAUAUCUAAAGUAUG